UUCAUCAUUAGCAACAAUGAUCUGAAAACCUCACUCGGGACCAAAAUUAUGCCUAUUUCCAACAUUUUCAGGCUUCGUGAGGUUCUAGAUUAGCAUCCACCUCAAAAUCCCAGAUUUUAAUUCAAGGCAGUAUGAAAUUCGAUAUUCAUCGACGUUGGAAAUAACGAACCAAGAUUCUAAUACCGGAAAAUCUUCACCUAGAUUUCCCAAUCGACCCCAGAGCCCGAUGAGAUUAUUCGUAAGGAAGCUCAUUUCCGUCGCUGGAAAGAAAAAGACUACGCACGUUUCGAAUGCCGAGAGAAUAUUUCGAAACGAGAUAAACGAUCAAUGAUACGAAAACCACCGACGAUGGUCUUCGCCCACGCAUAUCUCGUUUGACUAUGUAAAUAUGGCCAUUUCGAACAGCUUGCGUAACCAGUUCUUUCACAAGCCGACUUUCUUGAAUGGUGAGCACUUCUUAUCGGUGAAGAUUCACCUACGCAAUCCCAGGUAGAUAAUAGAGGACAUAUUAUUCACACCUUGUGUCAAAAAAGUGAGCUAUGGUUCUGCACAGCCUCCUAAAGACUCUAUAGACUGCUGUAAGUUGUAACUUCUGUAGAUGAAAGUUUUUGAAUAGAACUGAAGACAGCCCUCAAGCAAUA